AUUGUAAGGAAAUAUCUACAACCAGAAGAGGUUGGAGUAUGAUAAGGUCCCCAAGUGUCCACAUGAAUCAGUUGAAAAGGUCUAGAGGUCUUAAUAGAACCAUCAGGAAAGGGGAGCCUAGUCUGUCUUGCCAUAGGACAGUAUGAACAUGGAAAAGGUUGUUUGGAAGCAAAUGGAAAAGACAAACCAGAAAUAUAUCUCAUAUUUGCAAAUGGAGUAUGAGCAAGUCUUAAAUGCCAAAUGUAAUUCAUGUCAGUUGUAAGAACAUUAUUACAGAUGGAACUAUAUACAUGUGAAGGCAAUGGAACANN
rnacentral:lncRNA from 1 species